rnacentral:lncRNA from 1 species
UGUAGGAAAUUAUGAACAAUCUCACUCCAUGAGCAUAAGCUUUUCUUUUUCUAUUCCUACAAAUCCAUCAGCAUAAAGAAUAGCUGCUUUCAGGAUCUUUCCUGAUACAAGAUCGUUUCUAGGAAUUCCUAGUUAGGAUGCUACUGUGACCUACAGAAAGGGGAUUAGAGUUGCAGGCUUUGGGGUAAUAACACUUAAUAGAGAUGAAGAUAUUUCUUUGAGAGGAUGUAUAACUUUAUUAAAAUGGAAGUAACCGUACAUUUUUCUUGUCAUCUUGCAAUAUGCAAAUUAAAUGCACUGCGGCAGUUAAAAUUUAGUUACAUAACUCAUCGAAAUUGGAAUUGAAACUUAAAUUUUCUAGCUGAGGGAAAAGGAACAAGAAGUUAAGUAUCAAAAAUGCUGUGCAUGUACUUUUUCCCAAAACACAAAUCAACCAGUAUUGGAUUGCUGGAAAGCAGCGGGUGAUUGGGGGAAACUUUUUAAUGAAGAAUUGAAUGGGAGUUUGCAUCCUAAGGAGUUAUUUUCCUUUUCAGAUUCUGACGACCACCAUCAAAUGUAGGUUGGGAAGCUUUUGAAGCCUUCUGCUUCUGAAGGCUGUGCAGCCAUAAUUGUGGGUAAUAUUUCACUUUGACCGUGAUCCUAGCCUUGCCAGGAACUUGUUGUAAGUGUAAUUUUCCUGUUUCUCUCUGAAGAGAGAAGAUGCUUGCCUCAUCCAUGGGAACACACCAUCUGAUAGCUCAAACGUUUAUAAAAAUACUUGUUAUCCUCAAUUGGAAACUGCAUCAAUGCUACCACUUCUUAAUUUUUCAUUUCAUUGCACCUGCAUGUGUUGUUUACUAAUUGGAAGGAAGACAAACAAACAAACAAAACAGAGACAAUUUUGGAAAUAGCUUGUAAAAGAAAACAGCAAACAAACAACAGAAGACCAACAACAAACUAUGUAGCUACUACACUCUGGGGCUUUUUCUCUGUUUUGUUUCCUAUGCCCUAAAACACCUAGUAUCUCUGAGAUAACAAAAGAGGACUGUUCUGCUCUUAUUGAAUAUUGCAAUAUUUACUCUAUAAGCUCAGAAAAGACAUGCUUUCAAAGCUGCCUCCAUACUUGUAGUUCUCCUUAUGUCUCACACUGGAGAUGAACCUCUUUAGCUGUGUGGUUGUUUGAUGUAGAGGUGAGAGGAGCAGAGGUGAGAGGAGCAGGACUCUACACUGCGCAGAAUUUCUGCAGCCACUGAGUGGAGUGACUUUGAAUCACAGAACCAUAGAAAGGUUUGGGUUGGAAGGGACCUUUAAGAUCACCUAGUUCCAACCCUAUAGGCAGGGACACCUCCCUCUAGACCAGGUUGCUCAAAGCCCCAUCCAGCCUGGCCUUGAGAGCUUCCAGGCUGGAUGAAGUAUGAGGCAGAUAGCCAUCUUCAGUUUCACUGAUGCCUAGCACAUAGAACACAUCUAUUGUUCCUUUUCCUACAAUUUUCACAUCAAAAGUUAGGCUCAAAACACAGAGAUAAAGUUACAUGGUUGGAAGUGCAGACGGAAGGGAAUAAGGUCCAGCAGACUUGAGAAGUAAAAUAUAUUAAUGUGUGCAGUAUGAAAAUUUUGCCAUUAGAAAGACAAAGCGAUGAGCAGAAAACACACAUGCAACGCUGUCCUUAUCAACUCAAGUCACAUUUGAUUCAAUAGUAGAUCACAGAGAGAUUUUGACAAGCUGUUUAAAAGAGAAAUAUUUUGUUCUAGGUCGCUACUUCUGUGUUCAGGCUUUAGACAAACAGUUGUUGUUCUGUAUUUCCAGUCUUGUAACAGAUUGUUCUGUGUGUGCAGUUAUUAUUUCUGCAGCUUGAGUUAAUGUGCUUACCCUCAUUGUUGCUUUGCAGAAGCCUUUCAUAAAAUUUUAGAAGUGAAGAAAGUCCCUUUGUACUUCCUUGUACUUUGGGGUUUUGAACAAUCAAUGUGUGCUUUUGUUUCUUUGUUAAUUAUUAUUUCUAAUUGCAUGGGCUGAUCUUCCGCUUGUAGAAGUCUGCUUUGUACUUCCCAGUGUCCAUUUCUUGAUGGUUGCUGAAGGUAUGUUAGAUAGGUUUUUGUGCUGCAUGUGUAGGUCUUGCUCUUAUAGCAGCGAGUGGCAUGGAUAAUGAAGUGUGGUUUGCAGGAUACAUCAUAGUUGCCUGCUUUUAAUCAGCUGUGCUGCUUCUUAGUGGCUCUCGAUGGUGUUUUCUUACCAGGCAUCACAUUUGUGUCUGCUUUCUCAGGGAAGUUGGAGGUUUUUGAGUUUUGACAAGAACGAUAUAAUAAAAUGUUUCUGGUUUUCCUCCACGUUUAAUUUGUUGUUCCUUUGUUAUGCUGUGGAGGAACUUUGUAUUUCAUGGGAAACGUAGUGAGGAAUUAGCCAUUUUUCUGGUCAUCCAGCUAAACCCGGCUCCAAAGAGCAUUAGAUGGUUUAUUACUUCAACAGCUACACCUCAGUCUACAACUAACUACAGCAUGUAAUGUGCUUGUUUAUUGGCUAAUGUCUUCUUCACGUUAGGACUGUUUCUGUGGGCUUGUCUUAACGGAAGGUUGUUUCAGUAGUUGAUAGUUGUCGCUUCAAAUGAAGUAGUUAAUUAUUCUGUAAUUGGGAGUUUGGACAUUGCUAGGAUGUUUGUUUGGGGCUGCAGAUAUUUGUAAUUUACGCUGGCAUGUCUAGACUGAUCCCUAGGGUAAACUGCAAUUUUUUUUAGUUCGGAAAACAAAACACUUUGGGAUUGCCUAGCUCACUUUGAGAGUUACAUUUAUGGCAGCAUAAUUGCUUCAGUCAUCUUGAGUUUAAAAUGCAGCGUAACAUGUGACAAACUUACUUAACACAUGCUUAGAAAAGGGUUUGGGGGAGGCAGUUGAAGAAACACGCUGUCAUCCUUUGGGACUGAGAUGCUAAUGCAGAUCUUGGGGGGGAGGGGGUGUGAUGGCUGUGUUGGUGGCGGCUAUUGGGGUUUUUUCCUUGUAUCCUCAAAGCACAGGAGAGUGCAUUUAGCUCAGCUGUCUUUCUGGAACACUUGAGCUGCACUCAGGAAGUGGCUGUUCUGACAUGAGACAGCCAAGUCCCCACCAGCAGUGUUAGCCAUGAGCAGGACAGAGGAGCUGGUAGCUACGGAGGAUGAGAGCAGAGGGGUCAUCGUUGUGGGCACGUGUUGAAGAAUAAAAGUCCACGUUUAUUACAGUAUCUCAGUGACUAUGUAACUUUUCCUCCAAAAAUAGCAGCUGAAUAACUGCCACGGUUGGGAAAAUGAGUCCAUGGGGGAGUCUAGUGCCUUUGUGGUCAGCUUGAGAGAGAAUCCUGGAGGAUGGGAUGCACUGUUCUGUGCCGAGCUCAGUGUGCUGCAAGAGCUGCUUUUGGAUCUUACUUCCUCGUGUGGUUCUUGCCCAUAGCAGCACCCAUGGGCAGCACUGAGACUGCAGGACCACUACUGCCGGCCUCUGCAGCACAUUCCUCUUGGCACACUGACCCAGAAUGCUGCCCUACAUCUCUGUCAGAGGACUGCUUUCAUUUUACCCUUCCCUUGUCAGAAACCCCCCCAGGAUGUUAAAUUGCUUGAUAGUUGCAGUAUGAUAAAUUGGCUUCUAAUUAGUUUUUUUUUUCUAGAAACAUUAGUUAUUACCUUCUUAUUUUUUUUUUUCUGCCUGGCACUUUUCCUGACACUUAACUUUCUCUGACACAUCAGAAUGUUAAUUAAUCUUCUGAAUUCAGCUGUCUGUGUAAAUUCAGCUGCUGUAGGCUAUUGGUUUGUUUCCUGUAAAAUUUUGGCUUUGUACACUGGUAAACUGGCCAGUUCAAGUGUUACCAGCAGUUGCAGACAGUUGUGCUGUUUCUCCAUCACCUAUUUAAUGCAGUGCUUCAGUGUGAUAAAUCACAAUGCUGAGGCUUUUGUGUACAGUAAUUAGCAUCAAGUCACUUCGUGCUAUGUCCUUAACUGUCAAAUAUGAAGUGCUGGCUGUCGUUCACUGGCCUGUGCCUGAGUGAGACAAAAAUAGUACUCUAAAAUAGGAAGGGAUGCUGGUGGCUAGUCAGGAAGGGCAUUCACCUGUGAAAUGUUGAAUGUAAUCCAGAAGUCACAGCAGUCUGGUGGCUGUUUAAUGGCUUACAAGGAGUGACUCUUCCACUUUUCAGUUCUGCCCUUUGAGGACAAGUGACAAUAUUAUUAAAAGAAAAUGAAGAAAUGACUACUUCCUGUUUCAUCAUCUGUAAAGAAAAGGUUGGAGAAGCCAAUGUUAUUCAGCACCUCUUCUUUCUUUCAAGAUUUAAAGUUCCUUGCAGUUUCCUUUAUGACAACAGCUGGCCUUCUCUUUCGAUAAAUAACAAAACCCAGCUGGGAGAGAGCAUUUAGGUCUGUUACUGGGCAUCACGUCAAUGUGCUUUUCAAUUUCUCAGGCUAUGGCAGCCUCAUCUUGUGUUUUGGCUGCGUGGACUUGUGAGGACUGCCUGUGUGUUGUCCCUGCAGGAGAGCAGGGCCCCAGAGCCACCUCUGCUCUGAUGUGAC